rnacentral:misc_RNA from 1 species
GGAUUACUAUUGGGGCUUGGGCCUGGACUGGGGCUCGAACUGGGUCGUGUAACAGGUCGGGCAUCGCUCAAUCGCUGGUGUUCAUUAAUUCCGCCACCGAUGUGAAGCUUUCGAAGAAGAUGUUUCAUUUUCGACAUCGAUCAUCAAUCCACAACUCCCUCGCUAUCUAUCAAUCUCUCUCUCUCUCAGUGGUCUCUUCAUACACAAGGUUUACAAAAACGCCUUUUUC